rnacentral:pre_miRNA from 1 species
AAUAGGAUAGCUGGGUCAUAUAGUGGUUCCAUUUCUAGCUUUCUGAGGAAUCUCCAUAGUGCUUUCCAGAGCAGUUGUACUAAUUUUCAGUCCCACCAACAAU